rnacentral:lncRNA from 1 species
CAGCUUGAGUGCGGCUGGCCUGCGGCAGGGAGUACUUCAAAGCGGGAGUGGGGUUCAAGGGGGGCGGAGGACGGAGACGUGGUGGCCGCGUGGGUAAUGACCAUGGCGGAUAUAUGCAACCAAGCGUGUGCCCCACGCGUGUGCCCGCCUGACAGCCGGGAUGCCCGGAGAAGUGUUGGGUGCGCUUGGAGAGUUUUCCGGGCAUCCAUUCAUUGCAGCUAGAACCUGGGUAUCUAUUGCAGAGAUAACCUCGAUUUGCUGUCCGUCCUGCUUGUUGCUAUUACGGCUUGAUUCAGCUUCCGCACCCCAAUUCGCCGGCACUCGGUCUGGUGAAACGAGCAUGACCAAGGGGGGCAUUACAUCACGAGCAGUUGCGCACUGCGUACAGCUCAUGUGCGAGCCCCCUCACGCGUCCGCACGAAGGCGGUCACAGAUGUCCGAAUACCAGCUCUUUGCUACAUUGCCCCUGAACAGGGGAAUCCUAAAUUAUCACAUACGGCCGCACGGUUUGACUCGCACCGUCAGCGCACGCCGCCCAGUCGGUCACGACACGACAUACGCUCUCCGACCAAGGCAAGCAGCUCCGGCGCAGCCGUCCCUAUCCGCAUCAUACUUCAGUGUUGCAAACUAGCUGCAACCCACCGGCUCCAUACACUGACCACCCACAUACAUCGAACACCACCAGCAAAACAAACACCACCAAACGACACUAGUGAACACUACCACCACGAACAUGUAGGGGACGAUCCACAUGUCACUGCGCAGGGCAGGGUUCUGCCCCAUUGCCGUACUGUUUAAUGUAUGUGCACACGAUCCCUCGGCGCUCACGAGCAUCCUGC